UCAUGUAAGUAAUUAUCAUAGGAAAGAGAGGAAAUGUUUUGACAAAUGGUCUUCUGUAGUUUCAGAACAUCGCCAUACUCCAGUGCUGGCCAAGCUUGAGGAAGCCCAUCACACCCAAACUGUCUCACAAUCACAACUAAAAACUAGACAGAGUACAGGAAGCAACUACCCCAACACGGAGGAGUUAACUCACGGAGAGACUGAGAAGAGGCCAGAUUUGAAGAACAACAGUUAGGAGAGAAACAUACCUUAAUCUGAGCCCUGAGGAAAUGUGGGAUCUCUGUGCCCUUAGAGAAACACUAUUGGAUAAAUGAAAGACAACAAAGGAUAUAUCAAAUGUAGUUACUCAGAAAUGAAGAUAAGAGGAAAUCCUCAGGAAGACAUAGCACCCCGAAUGCCUGAGGAAGUGAAACGAGGGUUCAUCAAAACCUCAGGUGAGGGGCACGUGGGUGGCUCAGUCAGCUAAGUGUCUGUUUUGUCUCAGGUCAUGAUCUUGGGAUCCUGAGAUCGAGCUCCACAUCGUGCUUCUCCCUCUGCCACUGCCCCUGCUUGUGCUCUCUCUCUUAAAUAAAAACAUAAAUAAAAUCUUAAAAAAAAAAAAA
rnacentral:lncRNA from 1 species